CAGCAAGUAGACCAACAGAACACAAAGUUGAGUGCCAGAGACAACAGCUACAACAGACUACACCCAAACAGUGCUCUAAGCCAGACUUCAAGAGUCAAAGGCCACAGCACUAAGACUGAGGCUGAAAUAUCUAACCGAACACAAUAAAAGUACAGGGUGACUCAGCAUAGAGUUGUGAGUUUUCUGCAUAUGAGAAACGCCGUUUUUAUUUCUGCUUUGUACAAGUUGCAGCAUGUGUAUGGGAACUGUUGAGUCACAGCCUGAACCACUGAUUGAUCACCUGAGGCAAGCACUGAGUCAGCUGCAGGAGCACAGGUGAAGGCAAUUCUCUUGUGUGUCUGGAAGGGGUGGGGCCAGGCCCCACCUCUCUUAGAUCCCAUUUAAG
ensembl:lncRNA